rnacentral:rRNA from 1 species
GAUGAACGCUGGCGGCGUGCCUAAUACAUGCAAGUCGAGCGAACGGACGAGAAGCUUGCUUUUCUGAUGUUAGCGGCGGACGGGUGAGUAACACGUGGAUAACCUACCUAUAAGACUGGGAUAACUUCGGGAAACCGGAGCUAAUACCGGAUAAUAUUUUGAACCGCAUGGUUCAAAAGUGAAAGACGGUCUUGCUGUCACUUAUAGAUGGAUCCGCGCUGCAUUAGCUAGUUGGUAAGGUAACGGCUUACCAAGGCAACGAUGCAUAGCCGACCUGAGAGGGUGAUCGGCCACACUGGAACUGAGACACGGUCCAGACUCCUACGGGAGGCAGCAGUAGGGAAUCUUCCGCAAUGGGCGAAAGCCUGACGGAGCAACGCCGCGUGAGUGAUGAAGGUCUUCGGAUCGUAAAACUCUGUUAUUAGGGAAGAACAUAUGUGUAAGUAACUGUGCACAUCUUGACGGUACCUAAUCAGAAAGCCACGGCUAACUACGUGCCAGCAGCCGCGGUAAUACGUAGGUGGCAAGCGUUAUCCGGAAUUAUUGGGCGUAAAGCGCGCGUAGGCGGUUUUUUAAGUCUGAUGUGAAAGCCCACGGCUCAACCGUGGAGGGUCAUUGGAAACUGGAAAACUUGAGUGCAGAAGAGGAAAGUGGAAUUCCAUGUGUAGCGGUGAAAUGCGCAGAGAUGUGGAGGAACACCAGUGGCGAAGGCGACUUUCUGGUCUGUAACUGACGCUGAUGUGCGAAAGCGUGGGGAUCAAACAGGAUUAGAUACCCUGGUAGUCCACGCCGUAAACGAUGAGUGCUAAGUGUUAGGGGGUUUCCGCCCCUUAGUGCUGCAGCUAACGCAUUAAGCACUCCGCCUGGGGAGUACGACCGCAAGGUUGAAACUCAAAGGAAUUGACGGGGGCCCGCACAAGCGGUGGAGCAUGUGGUUUAAUUCGAAGCAACGCGAAGAACCUUACCAAAUCUUGACAUCCUUUGACAACUCUAGAGAUAGAGCCUUCCCCUUCGGGGGACAAAGUGACAGGUGGUGCAUGGUUGUCGUCAGCUCGUGUCGUGAGAUGUUGGGUUAAGUCCCGCAACGAGCGCAACCCUUAAGCUUAGUUGCCAUCAUUAAGUUGGGCCCUCUAAGUUGACUGCCGGUGACAAACCGGAGGAAGGUGGGGAUGACGUCAAAUCAUCAUGCCCCUUAUGAUUUGGGCUACACACGUGCUACAAUGGACAAUACAAAGGGCAGCGAAACCGCGAGGUCAAGCAAAUCCCAUAAAGUUGUUCUCAGUUCGGAUUGUAGUCUGCAACUCGACUACAUGAAGCUGGAAUCGCUAGUAAUCGUAGAUCAGCAUGCUACGGUGAAUACGUUCCCGGGUCU